rnacentral:rRNA from 1 species
UNAUGGGCGAGAGCCUGACCAGCCAGCUAGCGUGAAGGAUGACUGCCCUAUGNCNNNGUAAACUUCANAAUAUAAAGGAAUAAAGUCGGGUAUGGAUANNUUCUUUGCAUGUACUUUAUGAAUAAGGAUCGGCUAACUCCGUGCCAGCAGCCGCGGUAAUACGGAGGAUCCGAGCGUUAUCCGGAUUUAUUGGGUUUAAAGGGAGCGUAGAUGGAUGUUUAAGUCAGUUGUGAAAGUUUGCGGCUCAACCGUAAAAUUGCAGUUGAUACUGGAUAUCUUGAGUGCAGUUGAGGCAGGCGGAAUUCGUGGUGUAGCGGUGAAAUGCUUAGAUAUCACGAAGAACUCCGAUUGCGAAGGCAGCCUGCUAAGCUGCAACUGACAUUGAGGCUCGAAAGUGUGGGUAUCAAACAGGAUUAGAUACCCUGGUAGUCCAAGGGCGAAUUC